rnacentral:lncRNA from 1 species
AUGUGUAGUUUGAAAUAUGUGCAUUUCGGGGAGACAAUCUGCAGUCGUGUGACAAUCUGCUUAAGCACGAUAACAUUCACGGGAUCAAGUGGGUGCAGGUGCUGCCCCUCAUCCAAACCCGAAAUGCAGCUUUGUCAUCAGUGACAAGAGCAGAACACAUCUGUUCUUGGUCUCCAAUUGGAUCAGACAACAGAGAGUCAUUCUUUCCUGCUGAUGGGGCUGUUGGUGUUUUGCUCUUGGCUCGGCUGCUGGCACAUGUGUACAUGUUGUACAACGAUCAUCCCUCAUUCAUUCGACCCGAAUCUGAAGACGGUUACUUGGUUUGUUUUCCUUAGAGGCAUGUGUGUACGGCAUCAACGUUAAUUGGUGACAGGCCACUGGCACCUUAUCCAUGAUCAUGACCGGCAACUUUCCCUCACACGAAGCUUAUCUCCUUAAUGCCAAUCCAAGGUGCCAGGAGUGGACAUCUGCAGGGAAGGUGUGAUGGCUGUCAGACCUCCACUUCAUGAUAGACUGCUGCCAAGAAAGGGAUGGCAUGCAUGCAAGCAUGCCCAACUGUGAAAAGCAUGAGUGCAGUCAUGUAUGACUUUCAGAACGCCUUCAUACAUGCACACGUGUCAGGUUCUUUGUGCAGGCACCCCACGCGGAACACCAUCCAGCCAGCAAGCAGCCCUGUCUCUCGAGUGCUCAACAGCAGGUGCUGAUGUUUUUGUGGAAUUUUUAAGCCCUGUCUGGCAUACUGGCUCGUGCCCACACUAUUCCUGACAGUGCUUGAAUGCAGCUGCCUAAGGUCACCCAACUAAAUUUUGUCGUCUUGUGCUUCAAGGCCCAUGGGCAGCAACAGGUCAAGGGAACAGCUGAGAUGUUUUUCAUCCUCAAGCAAUGCUCUGCUUUAACCCACAUCUGGUGAAGGAGGAUCUGCCUAUGGCUCACACACAGAUCAUUUACCGCAAUUGUCCUUGAAAAAGGCCCUCUUGAUGUCUUGAAUCUGCACGUUGCACACGUGCUCCCUCUGUAGACUGAAACGUGCAUGUUGCCUGUGUUCGCAGAUGACAUCCGCGAUAUAACUUUGGGAAGCGGUCAGCCAGAUUCCAAGCCAAGCGUGACGUGGCUUUCUACUACUUUGUGGCCGCGAGCAUCUUUCGGCUGAUAGCUCUCCUCUACCGCAGCUAUGCCCCCACCAAGGACGCCCUAGCAAACAGGCCUGACAAGCUUUUUCAUCCCCUUCCUGCAGGUUCACUGUCCUCUCUGUCACAGUGUCCUUCUGGUGUUCAUCGCAUGCUCCAAGUCUAAAGGUCUGGACAGCUUGUGAACAUGUCUAAUUUCCCUGAGGUUGCCUUGUCGCGCAGAUGCUGAUGAGCUUUUUUUGCCUGUGCUAUCUGGCCCUGGAGUUCAUGCUGUGGCGCCUCCUGCGAACUGCAGAGCGCUGCUGCGGACACGCAUGGAAGAUGGCGGUGCUGGACUCAAUAAACAAUGCGGGGCUCCGAGUGCACUCGGGGACCUCCCCAAGCUCACUGUGCAUUCUACCCCACACAGCUUGAAGCCUCGUAAAAUGGAGAGAACAAAGAGUGUGAGUGAUGCCCCAAGUGUCGCAGACUUUGCCAGCAAGAUGACACGCGUGCUUGCAUGCACUGUCUGAAGACAUCCGUAAGAAGCCUCAGAGCAAAGGUCCAGUCUGGUCAUCAAUAUUGUAGUGGCAGUCGUUGGAUUGCAGUCAUUGGAUAGCCAUGCUGUGAUGUCGACUGCCAUUCAUCUGCUAGCACACAGGUGCCUGCUACCUGCCAGAAUACUCAUUGAAUGUGCAGAAUGCAAGAGCCAGUGUCUGUAGCUACAUGUGGCCUCAACAGCCAAUUAUGAGCUAAGCUGAGAGAUGGGUU